ensembl:lncRNA
AUACACGUUGUCACAAGAACUCAGACUGCAGAUAAUUGUUUCUAAAUUCAGUUCUCCAGAAGGCAUUUAUAGAAAGAGCUUUGAGGAAAAUGUGAUUGUGUUCCUUUUAUUUCUCUCUAUUUUAGCCUUAUUAAAAGGAGAAACUAUGCAUCUGAAAAGAAAAACGUGAAGAGGAGACCCCGAUGCCAUUACUUUGGAGCGCUGAGAGGGUACAAGAAGACGAUGUUAAAGUAGAAUUUCUGUGAAGCUGCUUACAAUUGAAGGAAAACCUCUUUCUCCUGACCUCCUGUGAUUUGAACACGGUGUACAUCGCCUGAGUCUCACUGUUUCAGACAGGAGUAAAAGCAGCUGAAGAUGUUGAUUUCAUAGGACAAGGAAUGCAGUAGGCUAACAUCACUUGCCUCAGAGCAAAAGUCUGAUACUUACUGCAGAAAAUCCAUCCUGCCCCAUGCUGAGCUCCUAGUGACAACUCUGGCAAAUCAUGAAUCUCAAGAAGUAAAGAGAGGAGAGACAAUAUUAUGGAGAGAGACAACAUCUUUUCUUUUUUUUUUUUCUUUUUCUUUCAAUCAACUGCCAAAUUCUGUUAUUUAAAACAAGAAAUAAUGAAUUUAAUAUGAUCUUUUUUGAGGGUGGAACAACGUGAAGUCUAUUUGUGCCUGACCUACAGAACUUGCACCUUGAAUUUAUAGAACCAAAAAAUGUAAUAAGCAGAUAAAUCUUGUUUUCUUUUCUGUGAAGAUUUGUAAUUUUCCUGGUUCUCUUCUGUUGAAAAGUCUGUGAUAUUACAGAGUGAGUACUGUCGUGAGCCUGAGCUGUUACCUUGGCUUGCUGAAAGAGCAGGCACUGAUAUUUACUGCUGACCCAGUAACAUCACACAGGGAGAAUGAACAGUUUUCCAAAGGUCAAAACAGAGCCAUGAGCUGAACCCACAUUCCUGAAUCCCAUGCAAGUGUGAACUGCAACACUAUCAAUUUAUUACAGUCAUAAAAUUAAUUACUUUAACUUGAGCUUCUAGCACACACAGAGCCAGAAGUACCAGUUCCCUCAGCUUUGUUGCAGGUUAUUGCAUCUGACUCCUUAUGAGCAAAUUCUGAACCACAAAAAUAAAGCAAGCAGGGAUCACCAAGUGUUCAGUUUUUAAUUCCUCUUCUUUCAAUUGGAAAUGGCAUUAUUCAUCUUGCAAGUUAAAUGAAAUAAUAUUCUCACGGACUCUGAGUUGUUCCUGUUCAGAUUAUUGCUAUUUACAAAUAACAAAGCAAAUUACAAAUCUCAACCAGAAAAUAAUGCCAGCAGGCUGAACAUUUCAUGUUGUGGUUUCUGCUUUACCAGUUCUGUUUUGCCAGCAUCACCUCCUCCGUGACUGGCAGUUAUUAUGGAACAAUGUUAAAAAAGAAUCCACUC